CCUACGGGUGGCAGCAGUGGGGAAUAUUGCGCAAUGGGCGAAAGCCUGACGCAGCGACGCCGCGUGCGGGAUGAAGGUCUUCGGAUCGUAAACCUCUGUCAGCAGGGAAGAACGGUCACUGUGCUAAUCAGCAGUGAAUUGACGGUACCUGCAAAGGAAGCACCGGCUAACUCCGUGCCAGCAGCCGCGGUAAUACGGAGGGUGCGAGCGUUAUCCGGAUUUAUUGGGUUUAAAGGGUGCGUAGGCUGUGAGGUAAGUCAGCGGUGAAAUCCCCCCGCUCAACGGGGUGAAGUGCCAUUGAUACUACCAUGCUGGAAUGAGGAUGCGGUGAGAGGAAUGUGAGGUGUAGCGGUGAAAUGCAUAGAUAUCACACAGAACACCGAUUGCGAAGGCAGCUCACGAAUCCGCGAUUGACGCUGAUGCACGAAAGCGUGGGGAUCAAACAGGAUUAGAUACCCGAGUAGUC
rnacentral:rRNA from 1 species